GACGAACGCUGGCGGCGCGCCUAACACAUGCAAGUCGAACGAGCGAGAGAGAGCUUGCUUUCUCGAGCGAGUGGCGAACGGGUGAGUAACGCGUGAGGAACCUGCCUCAAAGAGGGGGACAACAGUUGGAAACGACUGCUAAUACCGCAUACGCCCUACGGGGGAAAGGAGGGGAUCCGCAAGGACCUUUCACUAUUGGAGCGGCCGAUAUCGGAUUAGCUAGUUGGUGAGGUAAGGGCUCACCAAGGCGACGAUCCGUAGCUGGUUUGAGAGGACGACCAGCCACACUGGGACUGAGACACGGCCCAG
rnacentral:rRNA from 1 species